UACCAGCCCCCUGAGUGGUAGGGACGAUUAUUUGGCCUAAAGCGUCCGUAGCCUGCUCAAUAAGUCUUUCGUUAAAUCUAAUAAUUCAAUUGUUAGGCCGCGUAAGAUACUGCUGGGCUAGAGGAUGGGAGAGGUCGACGGUAUUCCUGGGGUAGGGGUGAAAUCCUAUAAUCCCAGGAGGACCACCAGUGGCGAAGGCGGUCGACUAGAACAUGCCUGACGGUGAGGGACGAAAGCUGGGGGAGCGAACCGGAUUAGACACCCGGGUAGUCCCAGCUGUAAACGAUGCUGGCUAGGUGUUGGAACAGCUACGAGCUGCUCCAGUGCCGCAGAGAAGUCGUUAAGCCAGCCGCCUGGGAAGUACGGUCGCAAGACUGAAACUUAAAGGAAUUGGCGGGGGAGCACCACAAGGGGUGAAGGCUGCGGUUCAAUUGGAGUCAACGCCGGGAAACUUACCGGGACUGACAGCAGAAUGAAGGUCAGACUAAAGAUCUUACUAGACAAGCUGAGAGGAAGCGCAUGGCCGUCGCCAGUUCGUGCCGUGAGGUGUCCUGUUAAGUCAGGCAACGAACGAGACCCCUACUGCUAGUUGCCAGCGGGUUCCAAUGGAAUGCCGGGCACAUUAGUGGAACUGCCGUCGAUAAGGCGGAGGAAGGAGGGGGCUACGGCAGGUCAGCACGCUCCGAAUGCCCCGGGCCACACGCGGCCUGCAAUGGUAGGGACAGAGAGUUCCGACCUCGAAAGGGGAAGGCAAUCCCUAAACCCUACCUCAGUUGGAACUGAGGGUUGAAACUCACCCUCAUGAACAUGGAAUCCCUAGUAACCGCGUGUCAUCAUCGCGCGGUGAAUACGUCCCCGCUCCU
rnacentral:rRNA from 1 species